GACGAACGCUGGCGGCGUGCCUAAUACAUGCAAGUCGAACGCAUUUUCUUUCACCGUAGCUUGCUACACCGAAAGAAAAUGAGUGGCGAACGGGUGAGUAACACGUGGGUAACCUGCCCAUCAGCGGGGGAUAACACUUGGAAACAGGUGCUAAUACCGCAUAAUUCCAUUUACCGCAUGGUAAAUGGAUGAAAGGCGCUUUUGCGUCACUGAUGGAUGGACCCGCGGUGCAUUAGCUAGUUGGUGGGGUAACGGCCUACCAAGGCUGCGAUGCAUAGCCGACCUGAGAGGGUGAUCGGCCACACUGGGACUGAGACACGGCCCAGACUCCUACGGGAGGCAGCAGUAGGGAAUCUUCGGCAAUGGACGCAAGUCUGACCGAGCAACGCCGCGUGAGUGAAGAAGGUUUUCGGAUCGUAAAACUCUGUUGUUAGAGAAGAACAAGGAUGAGAGUGGAAAGUUCAUCCCUUGACGGUAUCUAACCAGAAAGCCACGGUUAACUACGUG
rnacentral:rRNA from 1 species